rnacentral:rRNA from 1 species
UACGUAGGGGGCUGGCGUUGUCCGGAUUUAUUGGGCGUAAAGAGCGUGUAGGCGGCCAGGUAGGUCCGUUGUGAAAACUCGAGGCUCAACCUCGAGACGUCGGCGGAAACCCUCUGGCUAGAGUCCGGAAGAGGAGAGUGGAAUUCCUGGUGUAGCGGUGAAAUGCGCAGAUAUCAGGAAGAACACCCGUGGCGAAGGCGGCUCUCUGGGACGGUACUGACGCUGAGACGCGAAAGCGUGGGGAGCAAACAGG